GAUGCAGAGAUCCAAGCAUUUGAAUAGCCAUAUUUUAAAGACAGAAGCUGCCAAACUAGACAAAAAUGUGUAACAAGCACAUUUGGGUUUUUGUGAAUGUCCAAGCUCAAACUCGUUCCUGCUAUGUAUAUGAAACAGAACAGCAUAUCAUGGCAAUGGAAUCACGUUUUCCGUUAUCUCCUGCCUGCUUUUCAGUGUCACCUUCAACGUAGUAUUUCUGAGAUUGCUACAGAUAUGGCCAACGACUCUAUGAGGAAGGAUGUAGAUUUCAGUUGUAGUUGUAGGGUUGUGACCUGUGGAUAAUGCAUUGUAUUAUUGGAUCAUUUUUCUUUCCCACGCCCUUGUCUAGUGCCAAUCAGGCCAUGUGCACGCCCUUUAUUCAGUUUGGGAAUGAUUUAAUAAAAUGAUGAUAUUCUUUUCGUAACCA